AUGGUUAUUGCAUCUUCAGUUUCCUUGGCCAACUCCUCGACCCCUCCCCCGCGUCGCCUCCAGGGGCGACACGAGCGGAACCCUAGAUCCAGCCGCCGCCGGACCUUCCCCGUCUCCUACCUCCCCUCGCCGUCGCCGGAGAAGGUCGCCGGGGUAAGUCCAUGUGGCAGACGACUGCGGCGGGGUGUUUCGCUGCGCAGCGGCGUGGUAAUUAGUGGCGGGAGGCUCUCGUUUUCCCCGGCUCAGUGGUGCAACCGCGGCGGCUUCCCGCGUGCGGCGACGGCGGCUUCCUGCGCGGAUCUCGCGCUCAAGCUUCCGGCAGGCCAAGGCGGGUGA
rnacentral:rRNA from 1 species